rnacentral:lncRNA from 1 species
AGUACCCAGAGCACAAUACACUGGAGAAGGCCGCAGGGACCUCUGCCUAGGAAAGCCAGAAAAACUCACUACCCAGCCCACAGGCAGAGAAGGGAGUGGAGGCGGCCAGCGGUGUGUCUCAGAAGAGCUGUAAAUACUGUGCUGACACAGGGUUGCAUGUAACCACAAUUGGAGAAAUGCUUUCUACUAAGCCAAAGGUAAAUUGGCACUGCCAAUUGCUACUUCACAGAAAGUAAAAAUGAUGUUGAGAGGAAAGCAAGGAAGUAUGGGAUCUUGUGCUGCUGUUGUUACCUGGCUGCUCCAAAGAACCAUAAGAUUAUAACCAACUCAUCUUGGUUUGCCUGGGAUUUUCCUGGUUUAUCACUGAAAUUCCUGUAUCCUGGAAGACCCUUGAGCCCCAAGCAAACUAGGACAGUUGGUCACCUACUGAAGAAACUUCCUUAAAAAAGAGUUUGCACAGUUGUAGCUACCAGAAGAAAGCUCAGCAAAGAUUCAAAGUCCUUCUAAAAUGAUCCAGAUUGAGAAUACCAGCUGCUGGGGAAUCAUUAUUAGGCAUUACAUCAAGAGGAGGCAUCAAAAAUCCAACAGGAGAAGCUACCUUUGCUAACAAUAGCGAAGAGGCAGAAUUCAGAAUUCUUACUGAUUGGAGUCAUCACAAGAUUAUAUUAUAUUACAUUAUUAUAUUAGAUUAGAUGGUUUCUCCUGCUAGAAGCAACUUUUAUUUUUUUUAACUUUAGCAGUCUUUUAUUUCCAAAAUGAGUAAAUCAAUGGACAAAAAAGAAAUAGGAAGAAAAUGAAUUUGGCAUAACUCAUUACUAGAAAAGCAAUGUUCAUUUUGAAUAAUGGGAAACUGAAUUUGUGUGAAUUUGUGUGACAUCAUCCAAAGCCUCCAAUUUCACCAAUGUCAUUCCUUUGCAUCUGAGUCACACAGUUGGUAGUUUUUCACUUUAACUCUUCCAAAAUAAAAGUAAAUAAAAAUAUUCUAUUAGGAAACCUGAUAAAUUUUGAAACCCAAAAGCUCAAGCCAGUUCUAUAGACCUUGAAUUUUUCAACCUAGCACUAAAAUUGUCAGUAAUGGAUUGGAUAGAAUACAGGCUUACACAGAAACAAACAUGGUUGACUUUUUCCAGACACAGAAAAUAAGGUUACCAAUGUUAUAAAAUCUCUAAGUUGUAUCUACUUGGAGAUACUGUGCUUGAUAUCAGUGGUCCCGAUUUCAUUAGGAGAAAUCUGAUCAUCUUUCUGGAAUUGAAAACUGGAAAUGGCCCAGCUGGAUUUCCUUUUAGAAGACACAAGGUUUCUUGAAAUGAGCUAUCCAAAAGUAAGAUAUUCCUUUCUUGCACCAGUAAAGACUGAAUGAGCCUGAACAGGUGUUGCAUAAAUGACCACUUGAUCACCCAAAUGCAUGAGCCUCUCUUCUUUCUGGAUACAAGGUCAAGCCAAAUCAUGUUUUCUUGCCUCCCUUUUACUUAUGUGUGGCCAUGUACUAAAUUCUAGCCAAAAGAAAGGAAGCAGAAAUGAUAUGUGCUACUACCAAGAUUGGACUAUGAAAACCUACUACACAUUCUCCUCAAUGUAUGCUUCACUUCAAGUCUACCAAGAUGGUGGCUUACAGGGUAUCGAAAUCUGCUGAAGAUGAGAGAACCUGCAUUCACCUGGGAGCCCGAAUGACUGUUAAGAAGGUCGCCUGUCCAGUUGAUCACUUGACUGGUUUAUGUGGGGAAAAAUAUAUUCAGCAAGAGCUGAUAUGGUUUCAGGAGUAUUGCUAGAGAAGUUAGCCUACUUUCACCAAUUUGAACAAAAGCCGAAGAUAGGCUGCAUUAUGAAGGCACUGUUUCUAGGGCUUGCUGUAAAAGAUGAUAUCCAGGUAAUGAGCAUUCGUGAGGGCAGGUGAUGCCUUUUGCUAUGUGCCAUGUCAAUGCACAAGACAGACAUACUUUCUCUAAGGCAGUCUAUUUCCAGCAGAGAGUUUUCUUAAGUGUGAAAAGAUAUUGCAGUAGACAAGCAAGAUUUCUUUUUAUUUCUGCUAAAGGUAAUAAACAUUAAGGUCUCAUUUUAAAAAAUAUAAAUAAAUUGAAUUAUAGGUGAAAAGGAAUGCAUCAUGCUGCUACUUAACAUUUCUUUGAUUUCCCCAAAUGGAAAUUAUGAUUAAGCCUAAGUUUUAAGUUAUAAGUCAUUUGAGACGCUUCUGAAUGUUGUCUCCAAAUUUGUCUCCAUAUUUGAAGAACUAUGUAUUUCUCCAAGGACUCAUAAAGUGGAGAGCGGUCAAAUGUGCCAACAGCCUAAGAAAAGGAAAACUUUUAAGUGAAGGAAAUGUUGCUAAUAAGUGGAAAGGUUACGUUUUAUUGAGUAUACACAUUUAUGGUCAUAGUUUUAAGUUUCGCUUCAAGCAGCAUUGCCAAGAUUAAAGUUAUAAUUAAAUCCCCAUUUUAUAAAGAUGUCAGUUAGUUUUUUCAGUGAUUUUAUGAUUUAAUUAAGGACUAGGACAACUUAUUGCAAGCAUGAGUAGUUUUAAUAGUAAAAUAUAGUUUAGAUUACUAACUUGAUGUUCCAGAGGGACUGCUUCCUUGUGAAAGGGUAAUUCACUGUAAGACUUCCUUAUGUUCAAACCUGUUCUCUCUUCAUGCAGUGUAUUUUAUGACUCAGUUUUGUGGUUUCCACAUACAACUAUCCUAAUAGCAGCUGCUUCCCAACCUCCCCCCACCACACACACACACACACACACACACACACACACACACGUUUUUGUCUUACAGAUUUAGUUCUUUACUUGUGGUGAAACUAUUAGAAUAGAGGCAAAAUGCUACAUGAAUCUACAAAGAUAUACGUCUUCUAAUGAAAAUAGUAAUUACUUUUUCAUAAUUUCACAAAAUGAAUAAGCCUAAACAAACAAGACACAUGCAAUGACCAGAGGAAAAAAGAGGCAAUUCCUAAAACACAUGUACAAAGCUUCGUUUACACUGAGCUCCGGCCUUUUUUUGCCUCUUAAGGAAAUUUGUUUCAGUGGAGGAGUUGUGAGAGUACUUGUCACAUACAGGUAUCAGCUUUUUCCUACCACAAAGGAAAGAAAAAGAAAAGAAGCUGAUGAACCUGAUUAAUAAUAAUUUAGGGUGGCAGACGUAGAAGGGAGUCAGAGAUUCAUCCAGUGCAUUUUUAUAAUCUAAUAUUGGACAAAACUAAAUACACGUACAGGAUCACAAGAUGCCUUAACGGAGUCUAUAUUGGACAUACAAAGACUUGAUGAUUAAAGCUCUUAAAAACAGACAUCUGGUAAAUCUAUGACUGGUAAGUGUGUGUGUGUGUGUGUGUGUGUGUGUGUGUGUGUGUGUGUGUGUGUGUAGAGAGAGAGAGAGGGAGAUAGAAAGAGAGCAGAGGGAGAGCGCACACACAUACAACAGUCUGUGGCUUGGAUGGUCUAGGCACUUGGAGGAUAUGCAAAGUAUGAACCUAAAUUUUAAGAACCCUCUACCAAAUUGGGAAACAAGACUCAUGCAAUGAAACAAUAAAGUAAUACAAGAAAAUAAGAUGUGAUUUAAUGGCAAAACAAAACAACAUGUUAUUGGGGGAAAAAUAAAAGAGCACUUCCUAUUAUAUAAAAUUUGAAGCUGUUAGUCAGCUCUGCAGUACCUAGUUCUUUGACACUGAUAAAUUUCCUUAAAUUUUCUAAGGUAUUAAACUACAUGAUCUCCAAAAUUCCGAAUUUCCUUAGAUUAUCUAAGGUAUUGGACUACAUGAUCUCUGAAAUUCCUUACGCCUGGAAAUUCUAAGACUUUAAUUUUAAAGAUAAUCAGACUAGGAAGUGAACAAAUGUGUCCUCAGAGGGAAUAGGACAUGAAAUGAGCCUCAAAGAAAAAAUAGGUUUCACAAAGUGUUCAAGGACAAGGUAGGCAUCCAAACAUGAAAUGAAAAAAAAAAAAAAACCACAAAAUAUAUAUCUGAUAUGAUGAAUGAUGUGGCAUGUCCACUUUUCCAUGACAAGUCAUCUGAGUGGAACACAUAAUCCAUGUCAGAGGCAGUCGCCACAUAUUAGAUCUUGGCAUGUUUUGAAAACCAGGGUGAGAAUUUGACCAUCACAUUUAAAAGGUGAUAGGAGGAACACAGCUGGAAAAUGACAGAGAAAGAACCAAAUGUUGAGGAAGAAGUUGAGGUAAUGAAAUGAAACAGAAUUAAUAGAGAACCAAAAUGAUACCACAAUGGUCUGGGGAUAGUGUUGAAAAGAAUAGCCAAUCAAAUAGUAGGUUUUUGAAUAAAAAUAUAAAUGUGUCAAAUGAGAUAGAGACAUACUGGUUCCAAGCUAUUCCCAAGUCAAAAGAAAAUGGAAAUUUAAAGCGGUGCUGUGCUUGCUUACUUCAUAAACAAAGAGAAGACUAUUGUAAUCAGUAGCACCUUUGCUUCCUCCAUCCCGUGUCCAUAUAAAAGCAGUCAUUGGCACAACCACUGUUAUUGCCAAUAGAAGGGAGAAACAUAAAAUAAAAUAAAAUAAUAAUUACAUGUAGUUUCUAAAUGUUUGCAAUUUAUGUAUUCAAAACUGAAUAUAUUUUUAUAACAAAAAUUAAUUUUAAAAAGGGAGUGUUUAACAUAGGCACUGAUUAAAAUAAUGAUGUGUAUAAGGCAAUGCUAGCCAUAUCAUUAUGGGUGAGAAGUUUUGUGCUAUAGUCAAUAAUCUGAUUUUUUAAAUCUUUAAAUUUCCCAUAGCUUCAGGCAUGAAAGGAGGACUUUGUGUGUAUCAGCGGAAGAAAGAGAGGGAGGUUCUUGCCGUUACACUGCAGAAAUUAACAAAAUUUGGCCUACUCAGAGGCAGUUAAGCGAAGAACAUCAUGAUUACUUAUAGUUUGUGGAAACAAAAAUAAAAGCCACUAUGCUAUAAAAGAAACAAAAUUAAUCUGAUGCAGAGGAGCAAAGAGAAUUUAACACUUCCUGUAUGUGAAAAACUGCUAAGCCAAAAUUGGUUAGCAGCCGUUGUUUUCUGUAGACAGGAAGCAAGAAUUAACUUAAAUUGUAGCUUGCUAUUAAGUUAAAUAUAAGGAAGUGUUCAUUUACUAUGCAAAUUAUUUCCAAAUACAGGAAAGAAAUACAAAACAUGAGAAAAUUAUGGAAUGAGUUUUCAUAGCCAUACUAAGAAAUGGAAAAGUAAGAAGUAAGUCGCCUUUCUGAGAUGUGAAUCUGUCAAAUGUAAAACAUUAGAAGAAAAGCACUUAGAGAUUUGGAUGAGAAAUAUUAAAUGAGAAGCCUGCAUAAGGAAGAGUGACAAAGUAUAAAGAAUUAGAAAUUAAUAUUAAAUACAUUAUUAUAUUCAAAAUACUUCCCCCUAAGAAAUUAAGAUAAAUGGUUCAUGUUUAUUUUAUCUAUUCAUUAUAAAAAUUUUAAACAAUGCAGUAAAGAAUAACAGUUUUUAAAUUAAACACAACAAAACUUAGUUAAGCCACAAACAAAUGACACAAACUACCACAAUCCAGAAAUAACUAUUUUUAUCAUUAGGUAAAUAUCAUUACAAAUAUAUAUAUAUAUUAUUGACAUAAUAGAUACAAUUUUUUUACUCCUAGUGAGGUAUAAUCGACAUACAACAAACUGCACAUAUUUAAAAUGUACAAUGUGGUAAAUUUGAGACGUGUAAACCCAUGAAACCAUCACCACAGUCAAUAUAUUGAUAUAUGAGAAAAGUUUUGGGGGUAAUAGAUAUCAUUAUUUUGAUUAUGUAUUUAACAGACAUUAAACAUAUUUUUAAUAAACGUUAAUUAACCAUUCUAAAAAUCCUACAAGUGUGGUGUUAUUUUAUCCCCACUUAAGAAAACUAAAGCCUAGUUGGGUUAAGUAAACUGCUUAAAGUCACAAAACUAGUAAGUACCAAUCUGAACUUGAACCCAGGCAUUCUGGAAUAUAAAUAAGCAAAUAUAAUGUCUGUAGGUAUAUACUUACAGAAAUGGUAUAGAGAUUACAGAAUAAAUUCUUAUAAACAAUAACAAAAUAAAAAGGAAAUUGUGUUUCUAAUUUGGUUUAUUUAGCAACCCUUAAGGGCUUAAAGGCGAAGAUAUUACUUAACUCUAAUGGAAAGGCCAUGUAAGAUAUUGGCUGGGCAUACUGCUACCUUCUGGGAAGCUCUCUGUAAAGGGAACAUUGAGCAAUGUCUGGAGACAUGUUUGGUUGUGACAACUUGGGGACAUUUCUGCCAUCAAGUGCCAGAAGUAAGGAUCUUGCUAAACAUCCUGCAAUGCACAGGACAGCCCCCUACAAAAAAGAGUUAUUUGGCCCCAAAUGCCAACGGUAGCACCGUUGAGCAGGUCCUGAAUGAGGAGAAGCCAUGAGUCAGCCAAAGCCAUGGACACAACAAAAGAGAGUAGGGACAUUUAGCCUGUAGAGCACUAACAGUAAAAGCCAAAACAGACAGAAGCUUAGCUGACUGUCCACAGUGGCAGAGGUCUUGUAUGGAACAACGGAAGCCUACUUUUUAGAAGAAAAUGGGUCGUCCAAAGGGAAUCAAGUCUCUAGAACUAUCCUGAACCGUGACUCAUAUUGAAGUUCUCCCCAAAACCUGCUGAGACAUGUUCCUUUUCCUUACUGACGAACCUGUAAAAUAAACUCCUCUUACCUGUUAUACAAGACGGGGUUCCACCGUGUUUGCUAGGAUGGUCUCGAUCUCCUGACCUCGUGAUCUGCCCGCCUCGGCCUCACAAAGUGCUGGGAUUACAGGCGUGAGUCACUGUGCCUGGCCUGCCAAGACCUACCUGAAAUGGGAUUUGUACAUGCAGAUAUGGAGAAAGACACAGAAAUUAAAGCUAGAAGAAAGAAGAAGGAAAACCAACUCAACAAGCUAAAACCUAGGAAGCCAGUAGGACACCGUUCGGGCACCCUGGAGGAAACUCCUCAGUGCACUUCUGCAGGCAGCCAUAUGGUUAGAAUCAGCGGGUUCACCCAGUGCCAGCUUACAACGGGCGUGUAUAUGAAUAGCAUGCAAGCAAUCAGACUAGCUAUGGGUUUCAUAUACUCCCUCUGUAUAGGGUGCUUUUUACACCUUAUGGAAAAGGAGUUGGUAGUAACCACAGAUCUCUGCCUCUGAAGGUUAAAAGAAAAAGAAAAAUAAAGAAAAGAAGGAGAAGGAAGACAAUGACAGGAAGAGGAGGAAGAUGAGAGAAGAAAGAAAGCAAGAAAAAGAGAAAAAAGAAAAAAAUAAAGAAAAAGAAAGAAGGAAAGAAGGAAAGAAAGAAAAGAAAAGAAGAAAGAAAAAGAAAGAAAGAGAAAAAGAAAGAAAGAAAGAAAGGAAAAAAUCUUAAGAAUUUAAUAUUAGGUCAAAAAAAUUGUGGUUUUGGCAUAAAAACUGCCCUUUUAACUUCUGAAAACUUUUUUUUCUGGUUUGGAAAAGAAAUAGAGCAGUUUUGUGAUGAAAGGAUUUAUAGAGAAGGUUUUCUUGGUAUUCUGGUUGGAUUUAUUUCAACUACUGUUUAGAAAGAGAAUAUUUGUUAUGUGUUUAAGUUGUUUUAUAGUGUUAGGAUCAUUCCAUGAGAAGACUAAAGCGAUUAUAAGAAUAUUGUCUAACUUUCUGCCCAUCUCCAUCUCAAUUUCACGAAUACCAAAGUACCAGACACAAAUUUAAAUUUCCUGAAUUGUGAAGAAGGAUAUUAGCCAUGGUGUCAUCUGUAUUUUUUCCUUAUGUCUCUGUAUUUCCUUGUAACCACCAUGAGGUUUAUAGAUGCUUUACAUUUUUUAAAGUGUAUUUUGUCUUUUUAUAUUAUUUACUUCUCUCAUCUUUCUAAGACAUGAAGAACUACCUAAUUUGGGGUCAUAAGAAUGAGGGCUAUACAGGAAGACUAAUUCAAGGCUUCAGAUUCAGGGCAGGCAGUUUAGGACACAACACUUAUUAUCAUCUCCCUGAACCUCAGACGUUAUCAGUCUGCAAGAGAAAUUUAAUCCUGAACAUAAAUUGCAUUUCCUAAAAAAACAUAAUCUUGCCUUAAGACACCAACCUCCCUGAUUACAGGGAAUGUCUGUGUUUACACAUUUGUACAGAGCAUGCUGACUGUAUUAGUGUCCUAGGAAACAAACUGUGUGCUGCUCACAGACCUGCUGCAAGCACUAAGGAGAGAAAGAAAAAGAAAUUUUGAAAUCAGACCCCCGAUCUCCAACUCCUUUCAAAUUCUUGAAGCACAUUAGCUUUACUACUGCAUGAUGUACACGGUAGUAUUUCUUCUAAUGAAAUCUGACUAAAAGUUUAAAUGAGUUUAAUGCAUGAAAUGUAUAAAUAAAAUGUGGCCUUGAUUAAAUUUAGACUUGAUACAUAACUUAAAUGGGUAGCCCAAGAAUAGCAUUGGUAUCAUGUGUCUAGACCUUUUCAGGCUUUGCAAAAGUAGUUUGGAUUUUAUCAGUUAGUGCAGAACACUUUCUAACAGGAGCACAGUAUAUAUAAAAAGCUGAAAUAUGCAAAAGUACUGUGGAGAAAAGUGAGCGUAAUUGAAAAGAAGCGACUGAGAAAAUAACAUAAGAUAUUAAAAGGUGACCGCAGAGUGGAAUUUUGAAGUGUUGAUUUGCAAAGAGCAAUUUACAUAGGUAAAACAUUCCAUUUGCCGUUUCUUCUGGAUUUAUUUUCGUUUCAUGACUUUGGAAAAAUCUCUUAAUUUCAUGAAGCCUCAGUUUUCCCCAGUCGUGGAUCCAGAUGCCUUAUUUGCCUACUUUCUAGUUUGUUGGAAGGAUUAGAAUGAGAAAACAAAUACAAAAGGAUUUGGAUUCUGUAGAGUGCUUAUAAAUCUAAGGCAUUAUCAUUAUAAUAAUUUCAGCUAUAUAUCUAAUACACUGCUUUUCAGUGUAUUGAAAAUACACAGUUGGCUUUUUCCUUAAGGAUUUAUCCAAAAGUCUACAAGACCAUAUCCAUUACUCAUAUAAAACUCUUUGACCACAUGACACAGAAAAGAGACUUUUUCAGAAACGAACUUUUCAGCUAGUGUGUUAGAUAUGUAACCCAUUAUUUGUAAUAGGUAGGGCUAAAGCUAUUAGACAUAUUAAAUGGAUUUUAAAAACAGCUCUUGGGAAACUACAUAAAUUAGUAGUAAAAUGUACGGUCUUUGAAGUCAGCCAUCCUCAGCUUCAAUCCUGCCUCUACUUACUUGCUAUAAGUAUCACAGCUGUACAAUUAAGAAUGUUACUGUAUCUUCAUAAACUGUUUUUAUAUCAUUUAUUAAAUGGAGAUAAAAAAUACCUGCUUAAUGGUUUUGCUGUGAGGAUUAAAUAAUAUGAUAUGUGGAGAAGUUUUAACUCAUCCCUGGUAUUCAAUAAUAGCUAUUCGAAAAAAUUCUACUUUAUUUUUUAUUGUUUUAUAUAUAUACCACAUAAAUACUAAAAUAUGCAUUUCAAGGCAAUCACACCCAUAAAUAAAAAGGAACGUAUUCCACUUCAAAAGGUCAAAGAGUUAUUCCUUAUUGACAGUUUAAAAACGGAAGACCAGUUCUGAAAUCUCUCAAAUUGAAGAUGGAGAGGGGGAUAAAUGAAACAUUGCAACAUAAGGACAGCGCAUGAUGGAGUGGCAAAAGUUUCUCUUAAACCUCCUCAGGAGAAAUGUUUGAUGAUUUUAGGCUAACCCACAGCCAAACUCUGUUUUUGUUUUGUUUUUAUUUUUUCUGUUUUAAAGAUUGCACAGUGCCACUCAGUUUUAGGCAUCUAACAGAAUGAAACCAGGUGAGUUUGAGCCAAUUUUGCCUUUCAUUUUUCAACUUUGUUUAUUACUUUACUUAAACCACAACAUUCUGAGAUCUCACAAGAAAAUCUGUUUCUGUGACAUUUUCAGCCUGAUUUCCAAACCAGAG